AUGACAAGGCGCCAUGAGGCAGGCAACCUCCGGGCCCCAGGAGACAGGAAAGGAAAAAAGCAGAGACCGCCUGGUGCCAGACGGCAGGUGAACCCAGAAGAAGCCAGAAGGCCGGGGAGCAGCCCACGUAGGACACAGAGCCAGGCCAGGGAAAAAGAGGGCAACGCCUCGUGCUGGAGAGACUGUGGGGGAAAGCGCAUCGCUUCAGCUCACAGUGCAUUCAUAUCUCUGAACACAAGACGUAUGAGGGGCAGUAGCUAUUUCUCACCACUCCCUGGAUUUUGA
rnacentral:lncRNA from 1 species